rnacentral:lncRNA from 1 species
UGUAAACAUAACUUCCAUAUAUCAGCAACAGUUGUAAGUACUGUUGAAAUAUGCAAUGAUUCCUUAGCCCAACGGAGGUUUUUUGACAUGAGAUAACUGUCACGCCCCAAAUCCGGGAUAUAACACGGCCAUGCUACCGAGGGAUGGAGCCCACGAUAACACGAAGCCAAUUCAUCAUAAUCAUCUAAAAUCCGUCAAAUAAAAAGAUUCAAUUCUAUUAUUCAUCAAAUAAUCGAACCAAUAUAGGUUCAG